AAACUCCAAAAAUUGACCAAAGAGAGGUCAGCAAGGAGAUGAAGGAGAAAUCAUCCAUGAUUCAUCUACGAUUAGCCCAUCACAAAAUGAAGAAUGAGAUUCAGACAAGGUUGGACACCACUGAAUGAAGCUUUCAAUGUUGGAAAUAAUGAUGUUGCUAAUAUACUUAUAGCAGCUGGACCAGAUGUUAACACACAAGGAUUAUUAGAUGAUGACAUGCCACACCAUGAGUCUGUUAGUAGUAGGCACAGAGAGGUAGGGAAGAUUGGCUUAAGCAGCAAGUGGAAGUAGUUGUGGAAGAAAAACAAUGAGUUAAUGUUUUUAAUCUUGAAUUUGAGGUAAUUGAAAGGAGUCCAGACAGUUGGUUGGCUGAA